AUUGAACGCUGGCGGCAGGCUUAACACAUGCAAGUCGAGCGGAGCGAGGGUGCUUGCACCUUAGCUUAGCGGCGGACGGGUGAGUAAUGCUUAGGAAUCUGCCUAUUAGUGGGGGACAACAUUCCGAAAGGAAUGCUAAUACCGCAUACGCCCCACGGGGGAAAGCAGGGGAUCUUCGGACCUUGCGCUAAUAGAUGAGCCUAAGUCGGAUUAGCUAGUUGGUGGGGUAAAGGCCUACCAAGGCGACGAUCUGUAGCGGGUCUGAGAGGAUGAUCCGCCACACUGGGACUGAGACACGGCCCAGACUCCUACGGGAGGCAGCAGUGGGGAAUAUUGGACAAUGGGCGGAAGCCUGAUCCAGCCAUGUCGCGUGUGUGAAGAAGGCCUUUUGGUUGUAAAGCACUUUAAGCGAGGAGGAGGCUACUUAGAUUAAUACUCUGGGAUAGUGGACGUUACUCGCAGAAUAAGCACCGGCUAACUCUGUGCCAGCCGCCGCGGUAAAAC
rnacentral:rRNA from 1 species